AGGGAUAUAGCUCAGUGGUAGAGCACAUGUUUGGCGUGCAUGAGGUCUUGGGAUCAAUCCCCAGUGCCUCCA
rnacentral:tRNA from 1 species